CGAGAUGUUGCCUGCAAAGCUGACAGUCCUUGCCUUACUGGCGGCGGUUUGGUGCUGCACAUCAGAACCAGAUAUCCUCUAUAGUGUCGCAUGUCCGGAUACAAACGUUAUACUGCAAUGCCCCCAACGUCAUGUGAUCACGGUGGAAGAAAUACGCUACGGUAAAGCC